UACAGAGGUCCCAAGCGUUGUUCGGAUUCACUGGUCGUAAAGGGUGCGUAGGUGGUGAGGUAAGUCUGAUGUGAAAUCUCCGAGCUCAACUCGGAAAUGGCAUUGGAAACUACUUGGCUAGAGGAGUGGAGGGGGGACUGGAAUUCUCGGUGUAGCAGUGAAAUGCGUAGAGAUCGAGAGGAACACCAGUGGCGAAGGCGAGUCCCUGGACACUUCCUGACGCUGAGGCACGAAAGCUAGGGGAGCAAACAGG
rnacentral:rRNA from 1 species